AGAGUUUGAUCCUGGCUCAGAACGUACGCUGGCAGCGCGCCUAACACAUGCAAGUCGAACGAGAAGGCGUAGCAAUACGCUUGUAAAGUGGCAAACGGGUGAGUAAUGCAUGGGCAACCUACCCUCUGGUGGGGGAUAACUCCCCGAAAGGGGUGCUAAUACCGACGAUACGCAUCGGUCUCGCAAGGGGCUGGUGGAAAGCCGAGCCGAGGGUUCGGCGCCGGAGGAUGGGCUCAUGUCCUAUCAGCUUGUUGGCGGGGUAAUGGCCCACCAAGGCUACGACGGGUAGCUGGUCUGAGAGGACGACCAGCCACACUGGCACUGCGACACGGGCCAGACUCCUACGAGAGGCAGCAGUGAGGAAUAUUGCGCAAUGGGCGAAAGCCUGACGCAGCGACGCCGCGUGGGGGAUGAAGGCCUUCGGGUUGUAAACCCCUUUCAGGAGGGAAGAUGGGACGGGCAACCGUUCGGACGGUACCUCCAGAAGCAGCCACGGCUAACUCUGUGCCAGCAGCCGCGGUAAGACAGAGGUGGCAAGCGUUGUUCGGAUUUACUGGGCGUAAAGGGUGCGUAGGUGGUUAGGUAAGACCUGUGGGAAAGACCUGGGCUUAACCCAGGAAGGUCGCAGGUGACUGCCUAGCUAGAGGGCGGGAGAGGAGCGCGGAAUUCCCGGUGUAGCGGUGAAAUGCGUAGAGAUCGGGAGGAAGGCCGGUGGCGAAGGCGGUGCUCUGGAACGUUCCUGACACUGAGGCACGAAAGCGUGGGGAGCAAACAGGAUUAGAUACC
rnacentral:rRNA from 1 species